rnacentral:rRNA from 1 species
CACGUAGGGGGCAAGCGUUGUCCGGAUUUAUUGGGCGUAAAGAGUGUGUAGGCGGUGCUCCAAGUCUGGUGUGAAAUCUCCCGGCUUAACUGGGAGGGUGCAUUAGAAACUGGAAUGCUAGAGGAUGGGAGAGGUAAGCGGAAUUCCUGGUGUAGCAGUGAAAUGCGUAGAUAUCAGGAGGAACACCUGUGGUGUAGACAGCUUACUGGACCAUUUCUGACGCUGAGACACGAAAGCGUGGGUAGCAAACAGG